ensembl:misc_RNA
UUUGCAGCUUUAGAUUGUGGUCAGAGGCUAUUACAAAAUCUUGUAUUCUAUGAUGGGUCAUAUGCAUCUAAAGCAUGGUGGUUCAGUUUAUGAAUGUAUAAAAGGACAAUUUUUUGAUUAAUGGCAGCUUUGAGUUUAGAACAUAUCCCAGACAUCUUAGUUGCCCUUAGUUAUUUUUGGAGAUAUUUUUCUCAGCCAUUAAUAAAGCAAU